CACGGCCCGCGCCUUGAGAGACUAGAACCAUGUGCGAAAGAUUGAAUUUUCAAGUGGCUGCUUUUUCCUCACUGUCUCUGCUUUUCUUUUCGCCUUGCUUUUGCUACGGAGGGAACCCACUACCAAGCAAGUGCUCGCUUUUCAUCCCCUUGUUUAGACGCAUUGGUGAGAAAUCGUCGCGUUGGCAGCACGACAAGAUCCUACUAAAACCGAAAGGAAAAAUCCAGAAGAGCUGAGCUGAAAUGAUACCUGGAGGAAGAUCCGCUUGAGUUCCCGCAAUGCGAAGUAGAGCUUCCUCGCUGGGCUGGCUGCUGACGCUCGCCAUCGUCUCCUCCACCAUCGCCGUCUUCCACUCGCCAAGAUGUAAGUGAAAGCUCUCCAGCUUUUCGCGAGUUCUUUUCGUCUCUCGCUCUUCCCAAGCCUGUGAGUUUGCAAUCACUGCUCCGUCGCUGUUGCGAACUUUUCGCAAGUUCUUCUCG
rnacentral:lncRNA from 1 species